ACUGAGAAUGAGGGAACAGCGACAAGUGAACCAGCCCGAGGACUGAGAGUACCCACUGAAGAGAACCCUCUGACUCAGAGUUUUCAUUGAUUCAGUCAGGAGAAAGUUUGGGCAUCAUCAGCAGGUGGAGCUGUCCUGCACCGGGACCAAAGUGCAAACCAGACGACGACAAUCAGCAAUCUUCAGAAUGGACACAGUUGGGAAAUUGAAACGAGCAGCGAAGAGACUGAAGAGGAUUUUACCAGGCGGAUCAGCAAGGGAAG